AAAGUCAGCCAGACGAUCGCUAAACAUAUCUGUUUAGAGGAAAGUCCGAACACCUUAGGGCAGGGUGCUCCAUAACGUGGAGUCACGGUGACGUGAAGGAAAGUGCAACAGAAAGCAAACCGCCGAUGAUGAAUUCUUUAUUGAAUUCAAACAGGUAAGGGUGAAACGGUGAGGUAAGAGCUCACCAGUUCUUCGGGUGAUCGAAGAAGCUUGGUAAACCCCACCCGGUGCAAGACCAAAUAGGGAAACGCUUGAGAAUGGCCCGUUCGAGUUUUCGGGUAGGUCGCAUGAGAUGUCGAGUAAUUGGCAUCCUUAGAUGAAUGAUCGUCGCUGGUUGUCAUCAACCAGAACAGAAUUCGGCUUAUGGCUUACUUUGACC
rnacentral:RNase_P_RNA from 1 species